rnacentral:rRNA from 1 species
GUGCCUAACACAUGCAAGUCGAACGAGAAAGUCCCCGCAAGGGGAUGAGUACAGUGGCGAACGGGUGAGUAACACGUGACUAACCUACCUUCGAGUGGGGGAUAACUCCGGGAAACCGGGGCUAAUACCGCAUAACCUCGCUGGGUGAAAUUCCUGGCGAGCAAAGGAGCAACACGCUCGUAGAGGGGGUCGCGUCUGAUUAGCUAGUUGGCGGGGUAACGGCCCACCAAGGCGAUGAUCAGUAGCCGGCCUGAGAGGGCGCACGGCCACACUGGAACUGAAACACGGUCCAG